GACGAACGCUGGCGGCGUGCUUAACACAUGCAAGUCGAACGGAAAGGCCCUGCUUUUGUGGGGUGCUCGAGUGGCGAACGGGUGAGUAAAACGUGAGUAACCUGCCCUUGACUUUGGGAUAACUUCAGGAAACUGGGGAUCAUACCGGAUAGGAGCUACUGCUGCAUGGUGGGGGUUGGAAAGUUUCGGCGGUUGGGGAUGGAUUCGCGGCUUAUCAGCUUGUUGGUGGGGUAGUGGCUUACAAAGGCUUUGAAGGGUAGCCGGCCUGAGAGGGUGGCCGGCCACAAGGGGACUGAGAUACGGCCCAGUAUCCUACGGGAGGCAGCAGUGGGGAAUAUUGCGCAGUGGGCGGAAGCCUGAUGCAGCAGCGCCGCGUGCGGGAUGACGGCCUUCGGGGUGUAAACCACUUUCUCCUGUGACGAAGCGGGAGUGACGGUAAUGGGUAAAGAAGCACCGGCUAACUACGUG
rnacentral:rRNA from 1 species